rnacentral:pre_miRNA from 1 species
CGCGCACCCUUAGGCGAACAGUGUGCAAUUCGAGUUGAUUAUUUGCAACUCAUUGCGAUUUUGUUCGGCUCAUGGUGUUCG